UGCAAGUCGUACGAGAGUUUUUAACUCUAGUGGCGGACGGGUGAGUAACACGUGAGAAUUUGCCUUUAGGAGGGGGACAACAAUUGGAAACGAAUGCUAAUACCCCAUAUGCUUUCGAGUAAAAUGGAUUUUAUCUGCCUAAAGAGAAGCUCGCGGCUGAUUAGCUUGUUGGUAAGGUAAAAGCUUACCAAGGCGACGAUCAGUAUCUGGUUUGAGAGGACGAUCAGACACACUGGAACUGAGACACGGUCCAGACUCCUACGGGAGGCAGCAGUGGGGAAUUUUCCGCAAUGGGCGAAAGCCUGACGGAGCAAUACCGCGUGAGGGAAGACUGCCUAUGGGUUGUAAACCUCUUUUUUCAGGGAGGAAUAAAAUGACGUGUACCUGAAGAAUAAGCAUCGGCUAACUCCGUGCCAGGAGCCGCGGUAAGACGGAGGAUGCAAGUGUUAUCCGGAAUCACUGGGCGUAAAGCGUCUGUAGGUGGUUUAAUAAGUCAACUGUUAAAUCUUGAGGCUCAACUUCAAAAUCGCAGUCGAAACUAUUAGACUAGAGUAUAGUAGAGGUAAAGGGAAUUUCCAGUGGAGCGGUGAAAUGCGUAGAGAUUGGAAAGAACACCGAUGGCGAAAGCACUUUACUGGGCUAUUACUAACACACAGAGACGAAAGCUCGGGUAGCAAAUGGGAUUAGAUACCCCAGUAGU
rnacentral:rRNA from 1 species